rnacentral:rRNA from 1 species
UACAGAGGUCUCAAGCGUUGUUCGGAAUUACUGGGCGUAAAGAGUGUGUAGGCGGUGCUCUAAGUCUGUUGUGAAAUCUCCCGGCUUAACUGGGAGGGUGCAGCGGAAACUGGAAUGCUCGAGUAUGGGAGAGGUAAGCGGAAUUCCUGGUGUAGCGGUGAAAUGCGUAGAUAUCAGGAGGAACACCUGUGGUGUAGACAGCUUACUGGACCAUCACUGACGCUGAGACACGAAAGCGUGGGUAGCAAACAGG